AAGCUGACGGAGUCACGCCGCGUGAGUGAUGAAGGUUUCGGAUCGUAAACUCUGUUGUUAGGGAAGAACAAGUUGGGUAGUAACUGACCCAACCUUGACGGUACCUAACCAGAAAGCCACGGCUAACUACGUGCCAGCAGCCGCGGUAAUACGUAGGUGGCAAGCGUUGUCCGGAAUUAUUGGGCGUAAAGCGCUCGCAGGCGGUCCUUUAAGUCUGAUGUGAAAUCUCGCGGCUCAACCGCGAACGGUCAUUGGAAACUGGAGGACUUGAGUACAGAAGAGGAGAGUGGAAUUCCACGUGUAGCGGUGAAAUGCGUAGAGAUGUGGAGGAACACCAGUGGCGAAGGCGACUCUCUGGUCUGUAACUGACGCUGAGGAGCGAAAGCGUGGGGAGCGAACAGGAUUAGAUACCCUGGUAGUCCACGCCGUAAACGAUGAGUGCUAGGUGUUAGGGGGUUUCCGCCCCUUAGUGCUGAAGUUAACGCAUUAAGCACUCCGCCUGAGGAGUACGGGCGCAAAGCUUGAAACUCCAACAGAUUUGACCGGGGGGGCCCCG
rnacentral:rRNA from 1 species